rnacentral:rRNA from 1 species
UACGGAGGAUCCGAGCGUUAUCCGGAAUUAUUGGGUUUAAAGGGUUCGUAGGCGGUUUAGUAAGUCAGUGGUGAAAUCUUACAGCUUAACUGUAAAAUUGCCGUUGAUACUGCUAGACUUGAAUAGUAUGGAAGUAAUUAGAAUAUGUAGUGUAGCGGUGAAAUGCUUAGAUAUUACAUGGAAUACCAAUUGCGAAGGCAGAUUACUACAUACUUAUUGACGCUGAUGAACGAAAGCGUGGGUAGCGAACAGGAUUAGAUACCCUGGUAGUCCACGCCGUAAACGAUGGAUACUAGCUGUUCGGUUUUCGGACUGAGUGGCUAAGCGAAAGUGAUAAGUAUCCCACCUGGGGAGUACGUUCGCAAGAAUGAAACUCAAAGGAAUUGACGGGGGCCCGCACAAGCGGUGGAGCAUGUGGUUUAAUUCGAUGAUACGCGAGGAACCUUACCAGGGCUUAAAUGUAGAUUGACAGGUUUAGAGAUAGACUUUCCUUCGGGCAAUUUACAAGGUGCUGCAUGGUUGUCGUCAGCUCGUGCCGUGAGGUGUCAGGUUAAGUCCUAUAACGAGCGCAACCCCUAUUGUUAGUUGCCAGCGGGUCAUGCCGGGAACUCUAACAAGACUGCCGGUGCAAACCGCGAGGAAGGUGGGGAUGACGUCAAAUCAUCACGGCCCUUACGUCCUGGGCUACACACGUGCUACAAUGGGCCAGUACAGAAAGCAGCUACCAGGCAACUGGAUGCGAAUCUCAAAAACUGGUCUCAGUUCGGAUUGGAGUCUGCAACUCGACUCCAUGAAGCUGGAAUCGCUAGUAAUCGGAUAUCAGCCAUGAUCCGGUGAAUACGUUCCCGGGCCUU